rnacentral:rRNA from 1 species
AGAGUUUGAUCCUGGCUCAGAUUGAACGCUGGCGGCAGGCUUAACACAUGCAAGUCGAACGAUGAAAUCUAGCUUGCUAGAUGGAUUAGUGGCGAACGGGUGAGUAAUGCUUAGGAAUCUGCCUAUUAGUGGGGGAUAACCAUCCGAAAGGAUGGCUAAUACCGCAUACGUCUUACGAGAGAAAGGGGGCUUUUAGCUCUCGCUAAUAGAUGAGCCUAAGUCGGAUUAGCUAGUUGGUGGGGUAAAGGCCUACCAAGGCGACGAUCUGUAGCUGGUCUGAGAGGAUGAUCAGCCACACUGGGACUGAGACACGGCCCAGACUCCUACGGGAGGCAGCAGUGGGGAAUAUUGGACAAUGGGCGAAAGCCUGAUCCAGCCAUGCCGCGUGUGUGAAGAAGGCCUUUUGGUUGUAAAGCACUUUAAGUGGGGAGGAAAAGCUUGUGGUUAAUACCCAUUAGCCCUGACGUUACCCACAGAAUAAGCACCGGCUAACUCUGUGCCAGCAGCCGCGGUAAUACAGAGGGUGCAAGCGUUAAUCGGAAUUACUGGGCGUAAAGCGAGCGUAGGUGGUUACUUAAGUCAGAUGUGAAAGCCCCGGGCUUAACCUGGGAAUUGCAUCUGAUACUGGGUGACUAGAGUAGGUGAGAGGGAAGUAGAAUUCCAGGUGUAGCGGUGAAAUGCGUAGAGAUCUGGAGGAAUACCGAUGGCGAAGGCAGCUUCCUGGCAUCAUACUGACACUGAGGUUCGAAAGCGUGGGUAGCAAACAGGAUUAGAUACCCUGGUAGUCCACGCCGUAAACGAUGUCUACCAGUCGUUGGGUCUCUUGAAGACUUAGUGACGCAGUUAACGCAAUAAGUAGACCGCCUGGGGGAGUACGGCCGCAAGGUUAAAACUCAAAGGAAUUGACG